rnacentral:rRNA from 1 species
UACCGCGUGAGGGACGAAGGUCUGUGGAUUGUAAACCUCUUUUGUCAGGGACGAUAAUGACGGUACCUGACGAAUAAGCAUCGGCUAACUCCGUGCCAGCAGCCGCGGUAAGACGGAGGAUGCAAGCGUUAUCCGGAAUUAUUGGGCGUAAAGCGUACGCAGGUGGCCCAACAAGUCUUUUGUUAAAGCGUGAGGCUCAACCUCAUAAAGGCAAAAGAAACUGUAGAGCUAGAGUAUGGUAGGGGCAGGAGGAAUUCCCGGUGUAGCG